rnacentral:rRNA from 1 species
CCUACGGGAGGCAGCAGUGGGGAAUAUUGGACAAUGGGCGCAAGCCUGAUCCAGCCAUGCCGCGUGAGUGAUGAAGGCCCUAGGGUUGUAAAGCUCUUUUGUGCGGGAAGAUAAUGACGGUACCGCAAGAAUAAGCCCCGGCUAACUUCGUGCCAGCAGCCGCGGUAAUACGAAGGGGGCUAGCGUUGCUCGGAAUCACUGGGCGUAAAGGGUGCGUAGGCGGGUCUUUAAGUCAGGGGUGAAAUCCUGGAGCUCAACUCCAGAACUGCCUUUGAUACUGAAGAUCUUGAGUUCGGGAGAGGUGAGUGGAACUGCGAGUGUAGAGGUGAAAUUCGUAGAUAUUCGCAAGAACACCAGUGGCGAAGGCGGCUCACUGGCCCGAUACUGACGCUGAGGCACGAAAGCGUGGGGAGCAAACAGGAUUAGAUACCCUAGUAGUC